rnacentral:lncRNA from 1 species
CGACGAAGUCCCUCAACCAAGAUCCUUCAACACAAAAUGAACCCGAGACCACCAACUCUCAACACAACAACCAACCCCACGUGACCGCAAUGCCCCUCACGCGGUCGUCAACCAAACAACCCUCCUUGCAUAACAACCCGCAUGGAACAAGGAUGACGAACCCUAGGCCAAAAAUCCCCAAACCAGGACGCACCGUGAAGGAAUUACGAUCAACGAACCAAUGACCUCUCCACCACGAAUGCUCCAAUCUUCUAAUCGAGAAAGGGAAAGGAUAUAAUGGUUGGGGAAGAAAGGGAAGGCACAGACAAAGAGGGAAGAAAGGGGGCCAAUUUUCUGAAUAUAAAUUUGGGGAACGAAAACCCCCAAUUUGGAACUUAAAUCAUCGAGACCAUUACCGACUGCUCACAAGCCUUCGGUAAUUUAUCUCAACAGCUCAAUACCGACGACUUAAAGGCCUUCGGUAAUACUCCAUCGAUAAAUUGAGCUUUUCCUAUAGUGUGUAGGGGAUGUUAUCCUCCACUAGAAGGUACCUCACCUGCAGCUCAUUUGCAUCCUGCUCGGUCCCCAACCAGGUCCUCCACUCCACGUAACCUCGUGUGUCCAUCCACUCUCC